rnacentral:rRNA from 1 species
AAGCCAUGCAUGUCUCAGUACUUGCCGAACUAAGGCGAAACCGCGAAUGGCUCAUUAAAUCAGUUAUGGUUUACUCGACAGUAACUUUCCAUGGAUAACUGUGGUAAUUCUAGAGCUAAUACAUGCAGCAGCUGCCUGACUCCUCGUGNGCACGGGCGCAGUUAUUAGAUCAAAAACCAAUCGGCCGUACUUUCGGGUAUGGUCGCUCGUUUGGUGACUCUGAGUAACCACAGCAAACCGUAUGGCCUCGUGCUCGACGGUCUGUCGAUCAAGCAACUGCCUUAUCAGCUUGUUGUUAGGUUAUAUGCCUAACAAGGCGUCAACGGGUAACGAACGAUCGGGGUCGGAAAUCGGAGAGGGAGCCUGAGAAACGGCUACCACUUCCAAGGAAGGCAGCAGGCGCGCAAAUUACCCACUCCCAGCACGGGGAGGUAGUGACGAGAUGUAUCGAUGCGGGGCAAAUUUUGCCUCCGUAAUCGGAAUGAGUACACUUUAAAUCCUUUAACGAGGACCUAUUGGAGGGCAAGUCUGGUGCCAGCAGCCGCGGUAAUUCCAGCUCCAAUAGCGUAUAUUAAUGCUGCUGCGGUUAAAAAGCUCGUAGUCGGACUUGGGUUUUCGACGGGCAACGAGUGCGGCCUUUGUGCUGUACUUAGUUUGCUAUACGUGUCGCUUCGGCGGCACUGCCGGUUCGGUACUGCUUCAUUGCAAGCGUGCCGCGCCUGUCGUCGAGACCACGGGCUGAACCUAGCGGUAUGCUCUUUAUUGAGUGUAUUGUUAGUUCAGUGCGUUUACUUUGAAAAAAUUGGAGUGCUCAAAGCAGGCGUACAGUUGCUUUAUGCAGCCUGAACAGUGGUGCAUGGAAUAAUAGAAUAGGACCUCGGUUCUAUUUUGUUGGUUUUAAGAAUUCGAGGUAAUGAUUAAGAGGGACAGACGGGGACAUUUGUAUUGCAACGUUAGAGGUGAAAUUCUUGGAUCGUUGCAAGACAAACUAAUGCGAAAGCAUUUGUCUAGAAUGUUUUCAUUGAUCAAGAACGAAAGUUAGAGGUUCGAAGGCGAUCAGAUACCGCCCUAGUUCUAACCAUAAACGAUGCCAACCAGCGAUCCGUCGGUGUUCUCAUUUUUGAACGACUCGACGGGCAGCUUCCGGGAAACCAAAGUGUUCGGGUUCCGGGGGAAGUAUGGUUGCAAAGCUGAAACUUAAAGGAAUUGACGGAAGGGCACCACCAGGAGUGGAGCCUGCGGCUUAAUUUGACUCAACACGGGAAAACUUACCCGGGCCGGACACUGUAAGGAUUGACAGAUUGAGAGCUCUUUCUUGAUUCGGUGGAUGGUGGUGCAUGGCCGUUCUUAGUUGGUGGAUUGAUUUGUCUGGUUAAUUCCGAUACGAACGAGACUCUAACCUACUAAAUAGCCACAUUAUACCAGUGCUUGCUUGGUUUACCAAGCUUGUACAUUCGUUAUGUUGUGCUUCUUAGAGGGACAGGCGGUAUUUACUAAGCCGCACGAGAUUGAGCAAUAACAGGUCUGUGAUGCCCUUAGAUGUCCGGGGCCGCACGCGCGCUACACUGAAGGAAUCAGCGUGUUUGACUGCUUAUGCAGUUCCUUUGCCGUAAGGCAUGGGCAAUCCGCUGAAACUCCUUCGUGAUUGGGAUUGAGCUUUGUAAUUAUCGCUCAUGAACGAGGAAUUCCCAGUAAGCGCGAGUCAUCAGCUUGCGCUGAUUACGUCCCUGCCCUUUGUACACACCGCCCGUCGCUACUACCGAUUGGAUGAUCUAGUGAGCCUUUUGGAUUCGUAGCCAAAGCCGUUUCGGCGGCUGAGGAUUACGGAGAAGACAUGCAAACUAGCUUAUCUAGAGGAAGUAAAAGUCGUAACAAGG